rnacentral:rRNA from 1 species
CUACGGGCUGCUCCAGUGGGGAAUUUUGCGCAAUGGGGGAAACCCUGACGCAGCAAUACCGCGUGAGUGAAGAAGGCCUUUGGGUCGUAAAGCUCUUUUCUUGGGGAAGAUAGUGACGGUACCCAAGGAAUAAGCACCGGCUAACCCCGUGCCAGCAGCCGCGGUAAUACGGAGGGUGCAAGCGUUGUUCGGAUUUACUGGGCGUAAAGGGCACGUAGGCGGCACAGCAAGUUAAGGGUGAAAUCCCGGGGCUCAACUCCGGAACUGCUCUUAAAACUGCUGAGCUAGAGAUAGUCAGAGGCGGGUGGAAUUCCAGGUGUAGAGGUGAAAUUCGUAGAUAUCUGGAGGAACACCGGUGGCGAAGGCGGCCCGCUGGGGCUAUUCUGACGCUAAGGUGCGAAAGCGUGGGGAGCAAACGGGAUUAGAUACCCCGGUAGUC